UACGUAGGUGGCAAGCGUUGUCCGGAUUUACUGGGCGUAAAGAGCGCGCAGGCGGUCGUUCAAGUCGCGUGUGAAAGCCCCCGGCUCAACUGGGGAGGGUCACGCGAUACUGAUCGACUCGAAGGCAGGAGAGGGUAGUGGAAUUCCCGGUGUAGUGGUGAAAUGCGUAGAUAUCGGGGAGGAACACCAGUGGCGAAGGCGGCAUCCUGGACCGACACUGACGCUGAGGAGCGAAAGCCAGGGGAGCAAACGGG
rnacentral:rRNA from 1 species